UUUCGUUAUGGACCAGCCCAAAUCCCCCUGAAGCGGCUAUCCCAAAUCUCUGUCAGCUCCUCGCCGCCGCAAAUUGGUGACACCGCCGCUAUCCCUCACCUGGUAAUGGUGCUCCUGCAGCCUCCCUCGCCGCCCUCCGCUCGCCGCUAGUCCCACUCCCCAAUCCCUCACACCUCUCCCACCACGAAAACGACUCGCCGCCGCGGCUACUCCCGUCCGAAUCCGGCCUCCUCCACUGCAUCCUCCCCACCAAGGACGGUGUGCCCAGUCUCCCCGUCCACGCUCGCCGCUGCAUCCGGCGAUGCUGACUGCGACCGCUGCGUCCGGCGACGCUGACUGCGAACGCCAUCAAGGAAGCAUUGUUGGCAAUGGAUACAGCUGGGCGUUUCAGUGAUUUGUUAUGGAUGCCUCACAACCAGCACAAAAUAUCAAAAGCUUGGGAAAAUCCUGACAAUUGCUUGAAUGUGCGGUGUCAUCGUGUUGGCAUCCCAUUUGAUCCUUUGUGUAGCUCAGCUUUAGAGAACCUGGGUUUUUACCAGAUUGCAAUGAUGAAGAAAAUCAAUGUCAACAAAUAUUUGAUAUCGGCAUUGGUCGAGCGUUGGCGGCCUUGAGACAAAUAGUUUUCACUUACCUGUAGGUGAAAUGACAGCUACGCUGCAAGACAUGAGUUGUUUGUGGGGUUGCCUAUCCGUGGUAAACCACUUUAUUGGCAAAGCUGAUGCAUCAUGGUCUGAGUUAAUUGAGAGGUCACUUGGGAUUCCCGUAGAUGAACAACACAUGAAGCAAAAGAAAAGGAGAAAAUGCGAUGACACCAUUACUGUGAAGAAUUCACAAUACUCUUUAAAUCUGGAUAAACUCCAUGAACGCUUUCAUGUGCUGCCAGAUAAUCCAUUGGACUGAGAGAUUAAUUGGCAUGCUCGAGCAAUUGUUCUAAAAAUACUUGAUGAUGCUGAUUGGUGAUUUGCUAGAGUGCCACUAAUGCAUUUUUGGAUUGUAGAGUUUCACUAUCCAGACAGGGUGAUGCGACAAUUUGGGUUAAGACAGACAAUUCCACCAUGUCAUCCACGUGACGAGGUAGAGGUACGCAAAUUGCGAAAAAUUAAGCAUUCUGCAAGGAAAUCACAUAAUUGGGAAGAAAUCCAUGCCAACUAUGUUGAAGAAUAUAACCGAGUUCAAGCAACAGUAGUGCUAGAGGAUAUUUCCUUCGAUCUAGCUACUUUACUUGACUACAGACAUUGGUUCCAACAAAACGGUAUGUACACGGUUUUCUUUGAUUCCCAAUGCUUAGGAGGACUCGAUAAACCUAUCCCAUAUCCUCGAGAUAGCAUCGAAUGGACUGGCUACAUGCCUAGCGGUCCGCCACUGGCUCGCAUUGGCUUACGUGAGAUAAAGAAUGUUGCAUGGGGAAUCAAAUGUGCUACAACUCGUGGUUGCAAGAAGAAAGGAAAAUAUGUACUGAGGUCCUGUGUAGAAAAUUUGAUGGAUCUCAACUUUGAGCCUAGGCUGCAAAGCAUGCUUGCUGAGGCUAGGUUACCUCUGAACAUCGAAGAUAUUUCAUCUGAUGAUGAGGUUUCAGAUAUUGCUCACCCACCAAGCCCUCCAAAACAGAGCAACUGUGAUGUAUUUAAUGAUUGGAUAUACUCAUGGAGAGGUUUCACAACAUACCUUAUGGGUGGGGAUGCAAUGGAAGAUGGAGGAACGACAACAGAAGAUGUGGGUCCGUUGGCAUCGUAUCAUGUUUCCAGAUAUCAAUCAAGGAGUUCACUUCGAUUAAUAAUCCGAAUGGGACAACAUAGUGCAGCCUUUUUUUCAUUUCUUUCUCUAUGGCAUACCAGGUUGUAAACGUUGCAGGCUAUGUUAUAUGAACUGGGAAGUGGAAGUCCUCAUAUAAUGCAAUCCAGGAUUUAAUCUUAAGUUUACU